rnacentral:rRNA from 1 species
UUUCCGGUUGAUCCCGCCGGAGGCCAUUGCUAUCAGGGUUUGACUAAGCCAUGCGAGUCGAGAGGUGUAAGACCUCGGCAUACUGCUCAGUAACACAUGGAUAAUCUGCCCUUGGGUGGAGAAUACUCCCGGGAAACUGGGGUUAAUGCUCCAUAGUGGAUAUAUACUGGAAUGUUAUAUCCUCGAAAGAUCCGUCGCCCAAGGAUGAGUCUAUGUCCGAUUAGGUAGUUGGCGGGGUAACGGCCCACCAAGCCUUUGAUCGGUACGGGUUGUGGGAGCAAGAUCCCGGAGAUGGAUUCUGAGACAUGAAUCCAGGCCCUACGGGGCGCAGCAGGCGCGCAAACUUUACAAUGCGAGCAAUCGUGAUAAGGAAACCCUGAGUGCCUGUCGAUGCAGGCUGUUCAUAUAUCUAAAUCAUAUGUGAAGAAAGGGCAGGGCAAGACCGGUGCCAGCCGCCGCGGUAAUACCGGCUGCUCGAGUGAUGGCCACUAUUACUGGGUUUAAAGCGUCCGUAGCUUGAUUGUUAGGUCUCUUGGGAAAUCUUCACGCUCAACGUGAAGGCGUCCAAGAGAUACCGGCAAUCUUGGAACUGGGAGAGGUAAACCGUACUUCGGGGGUAGGAGUGAAAUCUUGUAAUCCUCGAGGGACGACCUAUGGCGAAAGCAGUUUACCAGAACAGCUUCGACAGUGAGGGACGAAAGCUGGGGGAGCAAACGGGAUUAGAUACCCC